GUAGCUGCUCCAGAUCUUGUCGUCCCUGUACUGGUUGAUGAAGGCGGCGGUGCCAGUGGAGUUGCAAGCCACCAUGUGGAAGCCCGCCUCGGAGAGCCGGUCGAAGGCUUGCUCCAGACACCCCCAGUGCAUCCUAACGUGUUCACACAGCUGCCUCCACUGCUUGUCAUGGGACUCCUUGAGGCUGAACAUGACUCCAGAGAACAUGAGGAAAAGCACCUGCAGACUCAAGCAGCUCUGAUGAACUGCCUGGAAGUGAAAAGGAAACAAUUAAAUGGAGGAAAACAUUAUUUACCCUUCUUCCUGGUUUCUACCAUUAUACUACAUUACAAGAGGGUUCAAGACUCAGGAAUAAAUAUUGACCUAUGAGAACGCAAGGCACAGACUGUAUAUGCAUUUGCAAGUGUGUUGCAGAGGAUCAGAGGAUAAAAGCAAAUUUAAUCUUUUUUAUUAAUUAAUCAGCUGCAAAUCUGCUUCUUGUAACUGUCAGCAUUCCAUUAUCUGCUUUCUAGGAAUCAACUUCCUAUUGAUAUUAAUGAGAAUUAUGUGAGCUUAGUUAUGAUGACAUUAAUUUUUAUAUAAAAACAUUUAUCUGUUCUAAGUAAUUGAACUGUAGUUUUCUAGGAUGUGCGUGUGCCCUUUUUUCAACAAUAGAUUUAUCUAUGGUUUGCAGGAAUGCUUGCUAAAUACAAUAUGGUAUUUAUUUCAACAUACAAAGUGGCCAAUCCUUUUUUUCCUUAGUAUUUUCAUCACUUGGAACAGCUUAAUUCUGAUUAUGUGAUACACUUCUACCUCAUUGAAAUGUUCUCAUAUGAAAAAUUUCCUUGUGUAGAAAAUGGAACUACAGAUGCAAAGUGGGUUUUUUUCAGUGACUCAUCUAUUUCUACUCAUUUCUAAAACAAAUUGUUAUUACCUAGAGUAAAUCCCUAACCACACCUUAUACCUAUGUUGUCCUAAAGUUGGGCUAAUUUGGAAUCUUGAUUUCUGCUGUAAAUGGAUGGGGGGAUAACUGUGUUAAUUGUUCAACAGGCUCAGAUAAAUUUUUACCAGGUAUUACCAGUAUAGUAACGGUAUAGGGAAAAAGAAGUCAGGAUUGCACCAAAACUUAACCAUCCAAGUGUUUCUUGCUUAUUUAACGUGGGAAACAACAUCCUCAUGAAAUCUGUUUUGUACUCGCAGCCGGAUGAUAUCUCCCUGGUCCACAGAGGAAUGUAUAGCUCUUACAUUCCCUUCCUUAUGCAGGCACAUGUAUGACAAUCUUCCAUCUUGUUUUAAUCAGAGGAAAAUUCAGGCAAAAAAAGAAGCAAGACUAAAAUCUAUUUUAAUCUACUGCAGUGAUUAAAAGGUAAAGUUAUAGUUAAUGGUAUUUUGUUUUGAGGAAGGUUGUUACAGCAGUCAAAAGACACGCACAACUAUAUAUCAUAGAGCACCACCACAUCUAGCAAAAAAAGCUUGAUGCUGCCAGCUUCCUGGUGAAAAUCCCUCUUAAAUCAUAAUAAAAGACUAAAUCCCUAGCAUAAUACUUUCUGACAAGAAAAAUACAGCCUGCCAGUAUCCUGCCUUAGCUGGGAGGUAGGGAAGAUUUCAUUCACUCUUUAUCAGUGUUUAUGUCCAUGCCCUUUCUGUACAGAUGGAAAUGUAGUGAAGCAGAAGCUUUUUGGGAAAUAGAAGCAGGCUGGCAAAGACUUGCACCAAGAUAUGAAAAUAAAAGGCUCAGUCCUAUGUGUUAGAAAUGACAAUGCAAAGUAGCUCCAAAUCUGGAAUGAAUCUUUCACUUUUUCAAGUGCUGUUAGUUUGUUGGUUGUUUGUGGGGGUUUUUUUCCACAGUUUCUAGUCUUGAAUACUUAUUAAUAAAAGUUCUUAAUCACAUGACUGUCUUGUAUUUCAGUUACAUAAUGAAUGGAUAGCUGACCAAGGAGAAAGAAAACUAAGAUGUAAAUUAUUGUUUCUGAAGGUUUGUUGAACUUUUACAAGACUGUUUAAUGUGCCGGUGUCAGCGCUGGCUUCUACCAUGUAUUCUUCUGGCUCCUGUACUAAUAAAUGAUGUCUCCGGAGGGAUUGACACAGUAUGCACUCGGAUAAGAGAGGAUGUUUUGUUUUCUAUUAAAUAUGGCAUAUCUCUGCAGUCUUUCAGAAGUGUGUAUAUCAAAAUAUUGGAAACAAUAAAUGAAAUACGUAAAUGUUUGCACCCAAACAUACAUAAGUACUUUUUCUUGAAGACUAAACAAAUCAUGGUUCCAUAAAAAAAGGCAAGAAGAAAACCCUCAGAUCCCUCUACACAGGCCUACAGUCUCAAAGUCAAUGUUUUGAAAAUGCAGCUAAGCUUGACAGGAAAGCAAGAAAGAAAAGACAAUAU